AACCCUUGAUGAGGACACAGUCACGGAAUCUCCUUGAAGCGUCCCAAGCAUCAUAGACUGAUUCUCCAUCCUUUUGUGAAAAACUUGUGAAUUGAUUUCUCAACU